AAUGUUGAUAAUUCGGAUACUGAAAGU
rnacentral:piRNA from 1 species